AAGUCGUAACAAGGUUUCCGUAGGUGAACCUGCGGAAGGAUCAUUAACACUUUGUUAUACCCAAUAUCAACCCAAUGUGAACUGUAUCGUCCCUAUUCACGGCGAGAGAACAAUUGGCCUUGGUCAGUUGCGAUCGAGUCGUGCGAUAGACAAUACCCUCCUAGUAGUCAUCAGACGACUGGGCACUUCGGUGUCUGGUUGUCUUGGUGACGAACGUAUUCCCCACAUUAACCCUAUAACUUUACACCUGACUAAUCUUCAUAAACUUAUCGACUGCUUCACGGCGGUUGCUAAGCUUUACGAAAUAUCGAACAACUCUUAGCAAUGGAUAUCUUGGGUCAU
rnacentral:misc_RNA from 1 species